UCCCUGGUGGUCCAGUGGUUAGAACUCGGCACUUCUAUUGCCAUGGGCCCAGGUUCAAUACCUGGUUGGGGAA